UUGUCUGUCUGUUGUCUUACGUGGUUACAUUUCACUGACACCUUUCAUGUCAUCCACCAACAGAGCCCUCGCUUUUGCUCACACCAUGGGGUAGAUGACAUGACACAGGUACGCUCCAGCCAUCUGGGGACCUUCAGUUCCCCUCCCACAACUCUAAAAAGUAAAAUGGGACACAUCCGCCCGCCUGGCUUUUAUGAAGGGGAAUACACCACCGACUGGCCAAGAUUAGACAUCCUUUCCUGCAGCAUUUUUCAUGGUGACUCCUGGGAUUUGAGGAUCGAAAAACACAAGUGAUGUACAAAGAACAACUCGAGGUGCAUCACCCCUUGCCCUGGCAGAUCGCUGGAAAACAACUGAAAUAACCCAUGAAAAUCUAAAAACACACACAGGCAUGAACCCUGUCCCCUUUAAAGGAAGAGGGGCCGCCACUGUGACGAGAGUCACAGUAUUCCAGGAAUGUCCUGAUCCGUCAGGGCCAGGAUGCCUCAGGGAAGAGACUGAGAAUGCUUAUGAGUCCUCUUCUCCUUCUUUAACAUGUGCACGCACACAUAAGAGAGGAUGAUUCAUAUGACAGGCGGAGUGGGAACAUAUUACUUCUGACCUUAUGUAUUUACAAAUAUGAUAUACAGUCUCACUGACCCCCUUCCCUUUUCAACUUCACUCAUCAUCAACCUGUUUUCUCACUUGUCUGCGCUUCUACAUCAAAUCAGUAUUAAAUGACUUUGAAUGCCA